AUUGAACGCUGGCGGCAGGCUUAACACAUGCAAGUCGAGCGGAGAUGAGGUGCUUGCACCUUAUCUUAGCGGCGGACGGGUGAGUAAUGCUUAGGAAUCUGCCUAUUAGUGGGGGACAACAUUCCGAAAGGGAUGCUAAUACCGCAUACGUCCUACGGGAGAAAGCAGGGGAUCUUCGGACCUUGCGCCAAUAGAUGAGCCUAAGUCGGAUUAGCUAGUUGGGGGGGUAAGGGCCUACCAAGGCGACGAUCUGUAGCGGGUCUGAGAGGAUGAACCGCCACACUGGGACAGGGACACGGCACAGACUCCUACGGGAGGCAGCAGUGGGGAAUAUUGGACAAUGGGGGGAACCCUGAUCCAGCCAUGCCGCGUGUGUGAAGAAGGCCUUAUGGUUGUAAAGCACUUUAAGCGAGGAGGAGGCUACUGAGACUAAUACUCUUGGAUAGUGGACGUUACUCGCAGAAUAAGCACCGGCUAACUCUGUGCCAGCCGCCGCAGUAACAC
rnacentral:rRNA from 1 species